rnacentral:rRNA from 1 species
GAGUUUGAUCAUGGCUCAGGACGAACGCUGGCGGCGUGCUUAACACAUGCAAGUCGAACGUGAUUUUUGUGGAAAUUCUUUCGGGAAUGGAAGCGAAAUGAAAGUGGCGAACGGGUGAGUAACACGUGAGCAACCUACCUUACACAGGGGGAUAGCCGUUGGAAACGACGAUUAAUAUCGCAUGAGACCACAGUAUCGCAUGGUAUAGGGGUCAAAGAUUUAUCGGUGUAAGAUGGGCUCGCGUCUGAUUAGCUAGUUGGAAGGGUAAAGGCCUACCAAGGCGACGAUCAGUAGCCGGUCUGAGAGGAUGAACGGCCACAUUGGAACUGAGACACGGUCCAAACUCCUACGGGAGGCAGCAGUGGGGAAUAUUGCACAAUGGGGGGAACCCUGAUGCAGCGACGCCGCGUGAGCGAAGAAGGUUUUCGAAUCGUAAAGCUCUGUCCUAUGAGAAGAUAAUGACGUUCUAGGNGCC